AGCUCCCAUUCAGAGACAAGGGAGCAUUUUUAAAAAGGGAAAACCAUGUUAUCCACAGCUUUGUGUUUGUACAGCACUACAUGCAAACAGUGUCCCCUUUGGCACUACUUUAUCUCCUAUUGUUUACGACAAGAUGAGGCUUGCAUGAGUGUGGCCUAACAGAGCUCCAUGGAGAAAUUGGUGAGGUAAUGGGUCCAUGUUACUUCUGGGGAGCUUCCAAGUAGACACAAGAGGAAAAUUUUUCACAAUGAAGCCAAUCAGCCAUUGGGAUAGUCUCCUGAGGGAAGUGGUGGAUUCCCCAAUACUGGAUACUUUUAAGAUUUGUCCAUUUGUGGUUGUCUGUCUUGUCCAGACUGUGUUUUUGGCAAAAAAGGUUAGGCCAGAUGAUCCUUAUGGUCCCUUCCAGCUUUUAGCACUGAUGG